AGACGGGAAAUCCCAAAGUUACAUAAAUAACUACUCUGGGUAUUACCACCAGAUUUAGACACCAAACCUGAGUGUGUUUUUUUAAACUGUCACCUUCGAUCUUGCUCUGCUUGCAGCAGAGGCAUCAUAGCUAUCCUGGCUUCCAGGUCCUCAAUCAGGAGGCGCCUGCAACACACAAACAUUAAAUCAUCACCACCUGUUUUAGUUUGUAUAUGAGGAUUACACUGAGUUUGACUGUUCAAAGCCCAACCACAAUUACAAGAGUUUCCUCACCUCCUCUCUCUGUUCCACUUAAAUAGCCUCCAGUAACCAAACACCAUGAUGCCGAUCCCAAUGCCGAACAUGCUGUAUCCUGUUGACGACAGAAUUCAUUCAUCAAAAGUUAGAUGACACCACAGAUGACACAGGCAUACCAGCUCAAUUUGAAUUGGACGAUUUACUUGAAUGUAUUUGCUGUUAAUGAAUAAACGGUACCAGUAAAUCAUUAAUUAGCUACUGUCUACAGUGUACAACCUCUGGAGUGUGGAGACUUGCUCACAGUUGCUCGAAAGCAGGAGGUGAACUGUCACAGCUCACACUGACUCUCUUUGGUGAUUUGUUUAGAGUUGAGCUGGUCCAAUGAAGGGAUCUGUAUCUUUAAUUCAGGCUCUGGUAACGUGUGAUGAAGGGCAUGCCAGUUCUUUAAUGAUGUGUCUUUUUUUUAUUGGAAGUGACUGCACAUGUCUUUCUCUCAGUGUUUUGUGUCGUGUCGUUUCAUUCGUGACUCAUUGUUGUGCCUGCAGCUUGUACAGAACGCAGCUGCCCGUCUCCUUACUGGUAAAAGACAGGAGCCCGUUUGUUUUUAAAGUUUUAAAUGGGCUAGCAACCUCUGUACUUAGCUGAACUUUUGAAUUGUCAUAUUCCAACUAGAUCACUGGCAUCGGCAGAUCAACUGCUGCUGGUCGUCCCUAGCACGAUUAAAAACCAGGGGUGACCUGGAAUAGCCUGCCCUCCCAUAUCAGAUCUGCCCAGACCCUAGAGGUUUUUUAAGUCCUUAUUGAAGAGUACUUUUUCUCAUUGUAUAGUAUUCUAUUAUUAACUGACCUGUACAGCACUUUGGUCGACGGCUGCUUGUUUUACAUGUGCUUUAUUUGUAACGUUUGAGUUGAGUUGAGAAUUGUUGUAACGCUUGUCGUUGGGAUGAGUUGACUUUUAGGAGCCUAAACUCACAUCCUGUAUUUUAUAAAAAGGUAAUAAUCACAGCUGUCACUGUUACACUUCAUCCCUCAGACCCUC